CUGAAGUCAGCUCCCCCAAGUCGUUGCCCAAAAUCACAUCCGCUGGCAAGUCCUGCAUCAUCCCCACAUAUACAUUCCCGCUCCCCGCUCCCCAAUUCAAGUGCACCUUGGCCGUUGGUACUUUGUAAAUGGCUCCCCCGGCCACCCGCACAGCCACACAGUCCCCCGUGAGCUUGGGUACCAGAUGACUUCGUACUAGGGUUAGGGUGGCCCCAGAGUCACGAAGUCCUUGUACUUUUCUCCCCUCCAUGUGUACUUCCUGGCGGUGCCCUUGGCGGUUAUCGGAGGCGGCCUGGAUGGGGUUCACCUCGUGUAGGGUGCCGAGUGGUUCCUCCAGGGUUGUCCCCAGCUCCAGAUUCUGGUAGGAUUCGGCCUGUAUACAGUGGACUGCGGCACGGUUGCUUGGGGCUGCGUUAUUCCAGCUGGGUCGAGGCCGAUUCCGUGGGCAGUCUCUCUGAAUGUGCCCCUGUUGGUUGCAGGUAUGGCACCGGAUUGGUGGACGUGCUGAAUACCUGGGGGGGUAGGAAUUUUGGCUUAC